rnacentral:rRNA from 1 species
UGGGGAAUAUUGCACAAUGGGCGCAAGCCUGAUGCAGCCAUGCCGCGUGUAUGAAGAAGGCCUUCGGGUUGUAAAGUACUUUCAGCGGGGAGGAAGGUGUUGAGGUUAAUAACCUCAGCAAUUGACGUUACCCGCAGAAGAAGCACCGGCUAACUCCGUGCCAGCAGCCGCGGUAAUACGGAGGGUGCAAGCGUUAAUCGGAAUUACUGGGCGUAAAGCGCACGCGGGCGGUCUGUCAAGUCGGAUGUGAAAUCCCCGGGCUCAACCUGGGAACUGCAUUCGAAACUGGCAGGCUAGAGUCUUGUAGAGGGGGGUAGAAUUCCAGGUGUAGCGGUGAAAUGCGUAGAGAUCUGGAGGAAUACCGGUGGCGAAGGCGGCCCCCUGGACAAAGACUGACGCUCAGGUGCGAAAGCGUGGGGAGCAAACA